AACGAACGCUGGCGGCAUGCCUAACACAUGCAAGUCGAACGAGACCUUCGGGUCUAGUGGCGCACGGGUGCGUAACGCGUGGGAACCUGCCUUUAGGUUCGGAAUAACUCAGAGAAAUUUGAGCUAAUACCGGAUGAUGUCUUCGGACCAAAGAUUUAUCGCCUUUAGAUGGGCCCGCGUUGGAUUAGCUAGUUGGUGGGGUAAAGGCCUACCAAGGCGACGAUCCAUAGCUGGUCUGAGAGGAUGAUCAGCCACACUGGGACUGAGACACGGCCCAGACUCCUACGGGAGGCAGCAGUGGGGAAUAUUGGACAAUGGGCGAAAGCCUGAUCCAGCAAUGCCGCGUGAGUGAUGAAGGCCUUAGGGUUGUAAAGCUCUUUUACCCGGGAUGAUAAUGACAGUAUCGGGAGAAUAAGCUCCGGCUAACUCCGUG
rnacentral:rRNA from 1 species